rnacentral:tRNA from 1 species
CAUCCUUUCGCUUAACCGGAAAAGCACGCCUUUGUAUUAAAAGGCGGAUGCGGGUUCGAAUCCCGCAAGGAUGAUCA